rnacentral:snoRNA from 1 species
UGGACCAAUGAUGAUAAGUGCUGGUGUAAUGAGUCAUGGAUGAUGAAUUCUACAUCAUCCAUUCAUAUUGAAACUGAGGUCCAA